rnacentral:rRNA from 1 species
GAUGAACGCUAGCGAUAGGCUUAACACAUGCAAGUCGAGGGGCAGCACAAGGUAGCUUGCUAUCUGGGUGGCGACCGGCGCACGGGUGCGUAACGCGUAUGCAACUUGCCCUAUACAGGAGGAUAACCCGUCGAAAGACGGACUAAUACUGCGUAUGCUCACAACUUGGCAUCAAGUGGUGAGGAAAGAAAUUCGGUAUAGGAUAGGCAUGCGUCCCAUUAGCUUGUUGGUGAGGUGACGGCUCACCAAGGCAACGAUGGGUAGGGGAACUGAGAGGUUUAUCCCCCACACUGGUACUGGGACACGGACCAGACUCCUACGGGAGGCAGCAGUGAGGAAUAUUGGGCAAUGGGCGCGAGCCUGAACCAGCCAAGUCGCGUGAAGGAUGACUGUCUUAUGGAUUGUAAACUUCUUUUAUACGGGAAUAACAAGAGUCACGGGUGACUCCCUGCAUGUACCGUAUGAAUAAGCAUCGGCUAACUCCGUG